GGUUAAGCGACUAAGCGUACACGGUGGAUGCCCUGGCAGUCAGAGGCGAUGAAGGGCGUGCUAAUCUGCGAUAAGCGCCGGUAAGGUGAUAUGAACCGUUAUAACCGGCGAUACCCGAAUGGGGAAACCCAGUGUGAUUCGUCACACUAUCAUUAACUGAAUCCAUAGGUUAAUGAGGCGAACCGGGGGAACUGAAACAUCUAAGUACCCCGAGGAAAAGAAAUCAACCGAGAUUCCCCCAGUAGCGGCGAGCGAACGGGGAGGAGCCCAGAGCCUGAAUCAGCAUGUGUGUUAGUGGAAGCGUCUGGAAAGGCGCGCGAUACAGGGUGACAGCCCCGUACACAAAAGCGCAUGUGCUGUGAGCUCGAUGAGUAGGGCGGGACACGUGGUAUCCUGUCUGAAUAUGGGGGGACCAUCCUCCAAGGCUAAAUACUCCUGACUGACCGAUAGUGAACCAGUACCGUGAGGGAAAGGCGAAAAGAACCCCGGCGAGGGGAGUGAAAAAGAACCUGAAACCGUGUACGUACAAGCAGUGGGAGCACAGGUUUACCUGUGUGACUGCGUACCUUUUGUAUAAUGGGUCAGCGACUUAUAUUCUGUAGCAAGGUUAACCGAAUAGGGGAGCCGGAGGGAAACCGAGUCUUAAUUGGGCGUUAAGUUGCAGGGUAUAGACCCGAAACCCGGUGAUCUAGCCAUGGGCAGGUUGAAGGUUGGGUAACACUAACUGGAGGACCGAACCGACUAAUGUUGAAAAAUUAGCGGAUGACCUGUGGCUGGGGGUGAAAGGCCAAUCAAACCGGGAGAUAGCUGGUUCUCCCCGAAAGCUAUUUAGGUAGCGCCUCGUGAAUUCAUCUCCGGGGGUAGAGCACUGUUUCGGCUAGGGGGCCAUCCCGGCUUACCAACCCGAUGCAAACUGCGAAUACCGGAGAAUGUUAUCACGGGAGACACACGGCGGGUGCUAACGUCCGUCGUGAAGAGGGAAACAACCCAGACCGCCAGCUAAGGUCCCAAAGUCAUGGUUAAGUGGGAAACGAUGUGGGAAGGCCCAGACAGCCAGGAUGUUGGCUUAGAAGCAGCCAUCAUUUAAAGAAAGCGUAAUAGCUCACUGGUCGAGUCGGCCUGCGCGGAAGAUGUAACGGGGCUAAACCAUGCACCGAAGCUGCGGCAGCGACGCUGAUGCGUUGUUGGGUAGGGGAGCGUUCUGUAAGCCUGCGAAGGUGGCCUGUGAGGGUUGCUGGAGGUAUCAGAAGUGCGAAUGCUGACAUAAGUAACGAUAAAGCGGGUGAAAAGCCCGCUCGCCGGAAGACCAAGGGUUCCUGUCCAACGUUAAUCGGGGCAGGGUGAGUCGACCCCUAAGGCGAGGCCGAAAGGCGUAGUCGAUGGGAAACGGGUUAAUAUUCCCGUACUUGGUGUUACUGCGAAGGGGGGACGGAGAAGGCUAUGUUGGCCGGGCGACGGUU
rnacentral:rRNA from 1 species